rnacentral:rRNA from 1 species
AUGGAGCCCGGCAGCGAGGGUACUCCUGGCGCAUCGGACUCCUCCGGCGGGGGCGGCGGCGGCAACAAUGGAAGCCCAGGCCAGGAUGGAUUGUCCUGCUCGUCCGACGGCGGCGGCGGCAUGCUUCGCACAGGUGGAUUGUCCUCCUGCUCGUCCGACGGCGGCGGCGGCAUGCUUUGCACAGGCGGAUUGUCCUCCUGCUCGUCCGACGACGGCGGCAUGCUUCGUGUGGGCGGAUCGUCGUCCUGCUCGUCCGGGGGCGGCGGCAGGCUGCGCGCGGGAGGAUCAUCGUCCUGCUCGUCCAGCGCGGCCGCCGUCCUCCCCGGCGACGGCUGCCAUGCGAUGAGGAGGAGCAGUGCCACCGCAACCACCGCCGGCCUCCUCAUGGGUCCUCGCCCUGGUGGUGGUAUGUGGUGCUACAGCCUUACCAAGUAG